UACGGGGGGGGUAAGCGUUGUUCGGAAUUACUGGGCGUAAAGGGCUCGUAGGCGGCCAACUAAGUCAGACGUGAAAUCCCUCAGCUUAACUGGGGAACUGCGUCUGAUACUGGAUGGCUUGGAUUCGGGAGAGGAAUGCGGAAUUCCAGGUGUAGCGGUGAAAUGCGUAGAUAUUGGGAGGAACACCGGUGGCGAAGGCGGCCCCCUGGACCGGUACUGACGCUGAGGUGCGAAAGCGUGGGGAGCAAACAGG
rnacentral:rRNA from 1 species